UCUUCUUGCCUGUUUCGGUACUCUUUAAUUUCUCACAAUAAUGAAAAAGGUAGGGUACAGUUGUAUGACUUUAAAUAGGAAGAUGAUAAGAAGUUUUCCUUAAAGACUAGGAAUAGUGAAAAAGGUGAAGUCUUGCUCUUUAUUAAGGACCAGAGCCGCCCAAUUAUUUGAGUUAUCUAACCAUAUAUCCAAAGCUGUGAAUUUGCCUGUUAGUCUUUAGCAAUAUUCUUCAAAAUGUCUAACCUUCAUCUUCCAAAAUUUGCAAGUAUGAUGUCUUUUUGUGUUUUAGAGGUGAAGAUACACGUAAAACUUUUGUAAGUCAUCUAAGACGAUGAGUGGUUGGAAACGGGAAAAUCAAUUUUUGAGGAACUCUUGCAAACUAUAGAAGAGUCUAGAUUUGCUGUUGUGAUAAUUUUAAAAAGCUAUGCAUCCUCAAUAUGGUGCUUUGAGGAGCUUGCACACAUCAUAAAGUGCAAAAAUGAAUUGGAGCAGAUUGUGAUUCCGGUCUUGUAUGAUGUGAGUCCAUCAGUUGUGCGCCAUCAAUAUCCCCCUUUCGCUGAGUCAUUUUCCCUACAUGAGGAAAAUUGCAAAGAUGAUUUGGAGAAGGUUCAAAGAUGGAGGGAUGCAUUUGCGGAGGCAGGGAAAAUAUCAGGGUAUCAUUUACAAAAUUUCAAGUUGAUGAUUCUGCUUGCUAGGACAUCUCGCACCAGCUAUUGGUGAGCCCCAGUCUUCCGGGGCAUUAUCCCUCUUUUCAGUCUUUAUAGUAUUUCAGUUAAUAAGGUUGUUGCAGCUUGACUAUCACAAUUGAUGGUGACAGGUUCAAUAACAUUGUUAUACACACCCAAGUGGACCAGAAAAUGUUUAAGCCAAAUAGCUUCUUGCAUAGCUGCUGAAAGUGCUACAAGUUCAACUUCCAUUGUCGAUUAUCCAUGAUUGCUUCUUGCUACUCCAUGAUAUGGCGCCAUUGUUAAGUAAGAAUACAUAUCAAGAGGUGAAUUUUCUUUCAUCCAAAUCUCCUCCAUAAUCAGCAUCAGUGUAUCCUUUGAGCUGUAGAUCAUUUCCUUGGUAACACAAAGAAUAGUCGACUGUGCCUCUAAGAUACCGUAAUAUCCUUUUAACUACUUUCCAAUGUUCUUGUCCUAGAUUAGAUUGAAAUCUGCUAGUCAACUCUGCGGCAUAACAUAUAUUAUGUCUAGUACAUAUUAUAGCAUACAUUAGACAACCGAUGGCAUUGGCAUAAGGAACCUUUCUCAUUCGUUCCUUCUCUUGUAGAGUUUGAGGACACAUCGUCCGGCCUAAAGCUUCACUUUUAGAAACAUGAGUGUUUAUAGGUUUCCAGUCUUGCAUAUUAAAUCGUUCAAGAACUUUCUUUAUAUAAGACUAUUGUGAAAGAGACAUUUAUCUCUUUGAACAAUUUCUUGAAAUCUUAACUCCAAGAAUAUGUGACGCUUCACCCAUAUCUUUCAUCUCAAAUGUUAAUGAUAGCCACCCAUUUAUUUCUUUAACAUACUCGAUGUCACUCGAUAAGAUCACAAACUUAUUUUUAGAUAUUUUGAUGUACACACAAUGGUUUUCAUGAAUCAUAGUGAAACCAUAUGAUAUGAUCUCCUUAUGAAAACGUAAAUACCAUUGUCUAGAAGACUGCUUAAGGCCAUAAAUUGACCUACGAAGUCGGCAAACUUUAUGCUCUUGACGUUUUUUCACAAAACCUACAUAUUGAUCCAUAUAGAUUUCCUCUUCUAGUUCUCCUUGGAGAAAUGUGAUUUUUACAUCCAUUUGAUGCAUUUCAAGAUCUAAAUUAGCUACCAUUGACAAAAUUAGCCUUAUCGAGGUAAACCCCAUAACAGGUGAAAAAGUUUUCUCAUAAUCGAUUCCUUCAAGUUGUGUAUA